AGAGGUUAAAGGGUCUCUGGCUGGCUGAGCAUGGAGUCUGAAAACUGCUGCAUGGUAUAACCUCACUGAGGGACAGGGGAUCUUUAAAGAGAUGGACCCAGGGCAGAGUCAUGUGAUUCACCAAUAAACAAGGCAGUAACAUGGUGUUUGCCCUAGUUCCAGUGUCUCUGCCUUUGAAAAGGAAGAUUUUGAGGGUGGGAAGAACAUAGGCUCAUCUCAGUCAUCUCCAGUUCUGUACUGUGAUGAACCCAGAAACAACCAAUUAAAGUGAGGAACCAGUUAAAAGGAGUGAAGUGUCUGGAGCUCAUACUGCAUCAUACACACUAGAUAGUAAUCACAGUACAUGUCCCAUUAACUGUUCUUCUAACCUCUUGACUAAUGUAUUGUACUGGUGCUACCAAUUCUUUCUUUUUCAUUGUAUCUGUGCCCUUCUCUGCAGCUUUGCAGUUUCUUUCAUUAAAAACUUAGAGGCUGUACCCA